GCAUAUAUGAUGAAUGAAUCAUUGGUAUUUUGUUCUUAGAACAUAACUAGAAUUGAGACGAGGUUCAAUCGAGAUGAUAGAAAUGAUGAUAGACUUCCAUAGAAUAAGAUAUGUGGUGAAUUUUCAAUGUUUAGACAAAAUGUGCGACCAUUAGGAGCACCAAAGGACAUUAUCGAGAGAAGAGAAAUGUAGUGCACAUUGGUACAUCUUGAACAAUUGCAUGGAAAUAAAAUCUUAUCGGAGGAAAUAUUUGUGACUAAUUCGACAUGAAGCUCAAAGUCAGGAUGAUUCAUACGCAACAAGGCUUUCCUAAUUGGUUCAAAUCUCAUGUUCUUUCAUUGCGUGAAAAUGGAGAUAUGUCAGAUGAUAUAUAUUCACUAGCGAUGGGACUGACUUCAGAAGUAUGCUCGUACAGUGGAUGUAUGUUAAUGGAGUAUGCUAUCAUAGUAUUAAGCGUGAUAAUUGUCAGAGUAUACAAAAUAGCAGGAUCAUGGUGCCUUCAGAAAGUGAAGGUGGAGUUGAUCUCCAUAAUUUAUAUGGUGUUAUCAAUGAAGCCUUGUACUUCCACUAUGCCAAGAGAAGACGUGUAAUUAUGUUUAAGUGUACAUGGUUCGACACAAACCCUAAAAAGACCAAUAGAGUACACAUGGA